ACGCUCGACACCUACGGGGGCAGCAGUGGGGGAUAUUGCACAAUGGGGGGAACCCUGAUGCAGCGACGCCGCGUGAGGGAAGAAGGUUUUCGGAUUGUAAACCUCUGUCCUCAGGGAAGAAGAUGACGGUACCUGAGGAGGAAGCCACGGCUAACUACGUACCAGCAGCCGCGGUAAUCUGAGCGGGCUGGCAAGGC
rnacentral:rRNA from 1 species